UUUCCGUAGGUGAACCUGCGGAAGGAUCAUUACUGAGUGAGGGCCUUCGGGUCCAACCUCCCACCCGUGUCUAUUGUACCAUGUUGCUUCGGCAGGCCCGCCUUAUUAACCGCCCCGGGCCCGCGCCUGCCGAAGACCCCUCUGAACGCUGUCUGAAGAUUGCCGUCUGAGCGAAAACAUAUAAAUUAUUUAAAACUUUCAACAACGGAUCUCUUGGUUCCGGCAUCGAUGAAGAACGCAGCGAAAUGCGAUAACUAAUGUGAAUUGCAGAAUUCAGUGAAUCAUCGAGUCUUUGAACGCACAUUGCGCCCUCUGGUAUUCCGGAGGGCAUGCCUGUCCGAGCGUCAUUGCUGCCCUCAAGCCCGGCUUGUGUGUUGGGUCUCGUACGGGCCCGAAAGGCAGCGGCGGCACCGUGUCCGGUCCUCGAGCGUAUGGGGCUUUGUCACCCGCUCUGUAGGCCCGGCCGGCGCC
rnacentral:misc_RNA from 1 species